ACGUAUGAGUGAGGCCUCAUGGGUAAAUUCUAAUGCCUGUAAAGAUUGCGCUGUAUGGUGUUGUUUAGUUGUCCAACUCCGUGGACUUUUUUGCCACACUGGCAAAUUAGAUCGCUCUUGAUUUUUUGAAAUGACUCGUGGAAACCAGCGUGACAAAGCCCGUGAGAAGACUGCAAAAAAGCAGAAAGAAGCCCAGAAAAAGCAGUCUUCUGGUGAAAAGGGCGGCAACAAAGGAAUGUCUUUGGAAGAAAGACGGCAAAGAGAUGCAGCCAUAAUGAGGCAAAAACAAGAGAAAAAGAAAGAGCCGGCAGAAGAGGGAGCAGUGGGUGGUGCUGCCAAAUGACAACCAUGGAGAUGUUCUCUCUGCUAGAUUUCACCUGUCCAUUCAGCUUCUUGCUCUCACGUUUGCAGUGUCAAGCCUUUGACAUCCUCUCAGUAGGAUCUUACAUGCAUCUUCUAUGUUUCCAGUCAUAUGUUUGUGUCGCCCAGGAUCUUGUAACUGUAGAAGAAUCUUUUUUGCUACCAGAUUGAGAUGUUUGGAUCAGGUUUAUUGAGCGACCUCACUAAAAUUAGACAGUACACAGAUGCAGAAAAAAUACCUACAUACCCAUUUACCACCCCUCUUUUUCUGAGAAGCAAUAGAAUCUUAUCCAUCAGGUUUGUGAUCAGUGACAUUUCAUUUGUGAAUAAGACUGUUAUAGGUAAAUUUUUAGCUGUUGCAUGAUACCAAUCAUCAUCAAAAUAUUUGUUUCUGUUCAUCUUUUGAUCCCAUUUUUCCACUUUUUCUUUUUUUUUUGUACAAGCUAUUCUACACUCGGGUGAAUGCUGUUUAGGUUAUAAGUGCAUCUAUGGAAGAGGAACAUCAUAUCAUAUGUUGCCAGGGAAUACCCUUGCAAACUUUCAUCAACAUUUUGACAUUUUCAAAAUAAUCCAGUAUGGUACUAGACAUUGUCUUGGAAUAUAAUAUCUAGAGAUUGUCUUCAGAGAAAAUCGCUGCAAUGUGUUAGCCAAAACUGCAGGCUCUGGGAAGUAUCGCUUGUCUGUUGCAACAUGGCUUGCCUUGUUACAUUUACUCAGCCAUGCACAGCAUACUUGCAUAAGAGUUUCUCUCAUCCUCAUCAGCAACUGACUCUUGUGCUCUUCAUGAAAGUGGAAAUAAAGAUAUUUCAUAUA